GGCCCAGACUCCUACGGGAGGCAGCAGUGGGGAAUAUUGCACAAUGGGGGGAACCCUGAUGCAGCGACGCCGCGUGAGUGAAGAAGUAUUUCGGUAUGUAAAGCUCUAUCAGCAGGGACGAAGAUGACGGUACCUGCAGAAGAAGCCCCGGCUAACUACGUGCCAGCAGCCGCGGUAAUACGUAGGGGGCAAGCGUUAUCCGGAUUUACUGGGUGUAAAGGGAGCGUAGACGGCAGGGCAAGCCAGAAGUGAAAGCCCGGGGCCCAACCCCGGGACUGCUCUUGGAACUGCGCGGCUGGAGUGCAGGAGGGGCAGGCGGAAUUCCUGGUGUAGCGGUGAAAUGCGUAGAUAUCAGGAGGAACACCGGUGGCGAAGGCGGCCUGCUGGACUGCGACUGACGUUGAGGCCCGAAAGCGUGGGGAGCAAACAGGAUUAGAUACCCGAGUA
rnacentral:rRNA from 1 species